CCUCUGGUAAGAAACUCAUGGUUAAAACCUAUGCUCUUGCUUCAUAACAGAACAGACCUGUGACAUCUCAAAGCUGAAGUGUUUUUUUCACCAUUUCUGCUUGACUCUGCUAUAAUGUGAAGUGUGAUGAGAUGAGGAGGGCAGCUGUAACUGAUAAAGAAAGGUCUGCAGGAGGGUUUUGAAGAGUCUGGCACUGGGGAUAUCUGGCAAUCAGCUUACACAUUCAUUGGUUUGCAUAAGGGGAGGAGACAGGACUGCACAGUGGCAGCAACUAUGCAAACAACUCAUUUCACUCUAGCUCCCCCAGAAUCUGGUCCCACAUCCUCUGCAGCUGCAGAAGAAUUCAAACAGGCUUUUUUUUUUUUUUUUUUUUUUUUUUUUUUUUUUUUUAUUAAUGCCACCUGUCAUCUACAACAGCUGUAGAUAGAGUAACACACCUGUUUUGGAGCAGAUAAACUAAGUGUGCUUUUGAUUUGUGUCUGUCAUGACAGACAGUGUGUGAGAAAAGGAGUUGCAGUGAAGCUACAAGAGUAAAAGCAGACAUCAGAAGUGUGAAGAUUGUGGUUACAGCACAGUG
rnacentral:lncRNA from 1 species